rnacentral:rRNA from 1 species
UACGAAGGGGGCUAGCGUUGUUCGGAAUUACUGGGCGUAAAGCGUGCGCAGGCGGCUUCUCAAGUCAGGGGUGAAAGCCCAGAGCUCAACUCUGGAAUUGCCUUUGAGACUGAGUGGCUUGAGUACGAGAGAGGUGAGUGGAAUUCCCAGUGUAGAGGUGAAAUUCGUAGAUAUUGGGAAGAACACCGGUGGCGAAGGCGGCUCACUGGGCCACAACUGACGCUGAGGCGCGAAAGCUAGGGGAGCAAACAGG